UCCCUGGAGAAGGGGAAGGCCCGUUUUAAACAGGAGCUGCGCCACCAUCGCCUGCUGUGAGCUACUCCGAAGCAUUUACUGGGGUGCGCAGUGUGGCGUGGGGACUUGGACCUUCUCCACCCCGACAGCUGGGCUGUGAAAUGAAAAAGGAAUUUCUCAAAGACCAAGGUUAGACGUUAUCAACCCCUCAUCUCUCGUGCUUUCUCCAGCUCCUGUUGCCAUUCGAGCUCAGCUCCGGAGAACAUAAUGCCACAAAGCCUUCAGUAAAACCAGAGCCUGGAGGAAAUACCAGGUGUUAACAUCCAAUAAAAAGCUAACGCGCUUGAAUGAGCCGGGAUUGCAAGGUACCUCUUGGACGGCCCGGGCAAGGGCUGACCUAAUGCCGUGGUUUUAUGAUGGUGGCAGGUAAGGACUAAUUAUAGACCCUGGACUCCAUCACGAGCUGACUUGUCAAGUUAACUUACCGCCUAAAGUACCUACAGUUACAUUGUGGGGGCUUUCUACUCCUUCGUGUAAGUGAAUGCAGUUGCUCCUGAAGAAACGUAGUGAGUAAAUCUGAGGUGCUGAAAGAAAUACUGCGCUAGAAAUUACGCUGUAGGGAACGUUUUAUAUGCUCUGGGGUAAAUUAAUGACCGGGUUUGGGUUUUUUAGAGAAAAAAACCAAAACAAAACAAAAAAAACUUUGUGCACAAAUACAUACUUAAAAAUAUAUUUUCUCUCAAACGCCAGCUAUUUUAACAACAGUGUAAAUCAGACUUUACAGACCGCAUAUUUCAAGUAUGAAGUUCAUUAAAUGUGUGAAAUUCUAGAUUAGCUGCUGGGUGUGGCCAGAGCCCCAGUAAUGAAUCCUAAGUCGUGUUUGCGUUAUAACAUCAGAUUCCCUUGCCCUGGCGGAGGUAUUAAAGGGGCAAAAGCGCCUUUUCAAAACAGUCAUAACUUUUCUUUAUUAUCUUUAUUUAGUUUAGCCACCAUAUGGUACAGUGAAGGGCUGCAUCAGCGUUUCCGUCCUGAACCUAACGUACAGGUGUCUAAUUGGAUUAGUUUGUUGUUGUUAUUAAAAAACCAACUUAUGUCCUCAUGUAACUGAAACUAAUGCUGUCUAUUUACACGGGCACUUUUGCCAGCGCCCUGAUAGCGGGUGGGAGGCUGCCUCUAGGUGCAAGAAUAUUGCUCUAAAUGGCAAUUCACCCUGACCUUGCAGGAAGGAACCAGUUUAUACAGCGAGAAAGCAGCGUGACUUUGAUUUGGCGUGCUUUGGAGUGAUCCACCAGCAGAGCUGUCUUCUCCAGCUGGGCCAGGAGAUGUGGGCAUUUGAGUCCAGGUGUUCCGUGAGCGUGCUUGGCAAACGCCCACCCAGCCCCGCCGGAGAGGCGCUUGCUGCUGCGUGGUGCUUGGGGAGAGGUCCAUGCUGAGAGCCGUGAAGCCGCUGGUGCGAGGACGGAUGUCGAACCCACCCCCUGAAAGGAACAGCUGGGGAAAAAUGCCCAUCACCACCCGCAGUCAGAAGGAUCGCCUCAAAUCCCUACCUUGGCAUUCUUCUCUACAGUACUGUACCGUACUUCUCUACGGUAACUCCUUGGAAGGGGAAGGUGAGCUGAAUAGCUGGGAAUAAUGAUUAAUUAAUGGUGCUGUUCUCAUUCCAAAAAUUCUUCUGUGAGCUGGGAGCAACGUGCAAAAGUGACCAGCUGUUGCCUUGUACUGCUGUAACAACCGUGACGUAGGGGACAGGAUCUCCGUCGUACCCCGCCUCACCGAACAGGGCGGGCAGGAGGGGGUCCCCGGGUUCCCCUGCCCAGGCAGGGCAUGGACGGAGCUGCUCGAGGGCCGCUGCGGGCUGAGCCGGCAGGCACCCGUGAAUCCCCGCUGCCCGGCGAGAGCCAGCACGUGUAGUUCUUCCUCGCCCUUUUCUCCUGUGCUAUGCAACGGGAAGAAGGUUCACAAGCCACUUCCAAUCCUGGUAUGACCAAUAAUGGGAAUUUCCCAGGUAGCAACUCUUGAUGGGGCUAAAAAUCCAGGGUUAAGAAGUUAAAGAUUUGGCAUUUCUCAUGCGUGGCUGUUUGUUGGAGGUUUGCUCCCAAAGCCUGGCCUGGUGACGGCGCCUGCAGUGACUUAGGCUCUACAAGGAACAGGUAAAUGGUAGCAUGUCAUUCACUUGCCUUGCCCGCCUAGAGAAGCGCCUCUCCCGCUCCCAGUGUGACUAAUGUGCUUCCCAAUUAUUCCAGCGAGUAAUUGCUCUAUUUGGCUGUCUCUUUUUUUUCUUCUUGAACCUUAGCUUUUAAGCCUUAGAAAACAAAACAAAACGCUAUGGUUUUAUAAUCUUAAAGAGAAAAAUAUCUUUGGCAAGAAGCGAACAUAUUUACAGCCUCAUCCAGAGUUGUUCUUUGUUUAAUUAGUCUUGCUUAAAAAAAAAAAAAAAAGGUUGUAGUUCAGUUUUAUCCUACGUGCUCGUCUGCAAAAAGCCUCGGAGCUGCUAACCUAGUCAUUGGUAGUAGUUUGUAAGGCAAUGCCAAUCUGGAGGGCUUAAGUGUUCCCUGAAAACAAUGUUUGAAGUUUGGGUAAAGCAUAGAUCAUGGCGUUACAAGCACCCCUCUUCGCACAAGGUUGCUAAAUCAGGGCGCGCUGAGCCAAUUUCAGGUUUGGAGUAGACCCAGCGCCGUCACCAAUCCAGACAACCAAAGGUAUUGCUUUUAUUUCGGAGCUGUCACGUCUGAAUCCUGCUUGCAGAGCUCGCGAUCCGCCUACACCUUCCCCAUCCCUUGCUGUUCCCAGCUGCUCCCCACGUCCCGCCGGCUCCCCCGGCCGCUGCGCAGCCCCCUCUCCCAUGGGGGUGGACAGAGCGCUGCCCCAGUGGCUUCACUCCCCAUGCGGAUAUGGAGAAUAUGUGUAAACUCUCAGAUUUUCAGCUGGUUGCCUUCUGUCUGGGUGUGAAAAAAGCCUCCGGGGAAGACCGGUCCCUUCCAUCCUACUGAACGUGCCAUCCUGCCUCAUCCUCUCUCUCUCUCAUGCAAAUGAAUUUCCGUGCCUCUAAAAUUCCCUAUCCGAGAAUCAGUGGGGGCUGUUGGCAAACGGAAGGGGCAGGGUGGACCUGAGCGGUGAUUUCGGCCCCAGAGGCGGCGGGGGGAGCUGCUGUGGGUCGCUGCGGGGAUGUCCCGGGGUGCCGGCAGGGCUGGGGGAUGCUGCGGGGCCGGGCAGGUCCCAGGCAGCCGCCCCAGCUGCGGGUCAGGCUGAGCCGUCCGGCUUUUCCCCGGAGAGAAAAAGAACCCCAGGUCAGGUUCCUGAGGAUGCUGAGGCUGAGGACAGGUUUCCCUCCAGCUGCAGGUGCAGACCUGGUACUUCCUUCACGUGUGACCUGACGCGGGGUGUCGGAGGCUUCCAUAGUCCCGUGGCUGUGAACUUGUGCGACUGCUUUGCAAAUGUGCUUCGCCGUCUGCCCGCAGUCCUGCGUAUUUCUAGGAGACGGGCACGGUAAUAGGUAAAACGGGAAAUCGCAGCCUCGGGUGGUAUCGUAUCAGGCCAGCCGAAUUAAUUACAUCCUCCUGGUCCCAUAAGAGGACACUAAUUCAAGAGCUGCCUAUGACAGCGAGAGUGGAGCCCUAUUGUUCUGUGAGUGAGCUGAAAGACAUUUAUUUUUUCCUUUACAGGAAAUUUUCGAGGGGAGGGGGAAGAGAAAGAAUGUCCUCUACACUUUCUUCAAUAUAUUGUGUUUAUUUGUGGUUUUGUUUUCUGAGGUUGCCUUUGCUGAGGAAAAAGAAAAAUUAAAAAUAAUCACUCUUCACUUAUAAAAAUUAUUUUUAAUGUUCACAAACAGAAUCCGUUUACUAAGAGCCAGUUCUUUGAGGGGGAAGAAUUAACAAAAAAACCCCAACAAAACUACUUUAACUCAAAAAAUAGCCUUCCAAUGUAUUGAAUUUUGUUGAGAAAAUUUCAACCAAUUUUCAUUUUAGAUGAAAAGCUAUUUCUCAUUUGGAAAAAAUGUUUUGAUGGGAAAAAUUCAAGCAGUUUUAGUUCCAAUCUCGGAGAGCUGUAUGUGGGCAGAUUCCCUGGGCCACGUGGAGCUCGUUACAAGAUCAGACAAUUUGUUUGUAACUUAAUUAAGUGAGCGAAUAUGUUAUUUAGGCAAGUGCAUUGUCAGAAAUAAGCUUGGGAUGGUGACACGUAGUCCUGAUGCUCUAGGACCGCUGUGAGAACGGAGGGAGGUGCCGCUUUGCGUUGCUUAAGCAGGGCUGCACCGGUCGGUCCUUGCCGGGCUCCGUUGCAAGUCCCGCUUAGGCGCGGUGAAGGCACCGCCGGGGCCCGUUAAGCCGGUGUGUAGGCCCGGCCCAGCUGAACGUCUGGACCGCGCCGAGGUCGCGCUGGGCAGCGCGUUGCGUGUGGUGGCAGGUUCGGGGAGAACGGUAUUUACUUUGGAAGGGUGAGGAGCUUUUGUCAAAAAUACUUAUUGUUGCUGUGAGCCUGAAAUACCUUUUGCAAGUGGAAAACAGAGAUGUCUCCAUGAAGUCUAUUAUGAUAAACCCCGGGCAGCUGCCCCAAACGGCCUGAGAGCACAUCCUCAGGAAGCCUUGAUGUCUUAUCUCCUGGAGAGCAAGAGAAAUUUUAAUAAAAACAACAAACUAUUUCAGUUUUAUUGCCAGUUACCAGCACGGAGCCGGGUAGCGCUCGUUCUCCAGCGGGAGGUGCAGCGG